UACGGGGGGGGUAAGCGUUGUUCGGAAUUACUGGGCGUAAAGGGUCUGUAGGUGGCUUGCUAAGUCAGACGUGAAAUCCCUCAGCUUAACUGGGGAACUGCGUCUGAGACUGGCGAGCUUGAGUGCAGGAGAGGAACGCGGAAUUCCAGGUGUAGCGGUGAAAUGCGUAGAUAUCUGGAGGAACACCGGUGGCGAAGGCGGCGUUCUGGACUGCAACUGACACUGAGAGACGAAAGCCAGGGGAGCAAACGGG
rnacentral:rRNA from 1 species